GAUGAACGCUAGCGGCAGGCCUAAUACAUGCAAGACGAACGGCAAGAAUUGUAGCAAUACGGUUCCUAGAGUGUCGCACGGGUGCGUAACACGUAUGCAACCUACCUUGUACAGGAGUAUAGCUCGGGGAAACUCGAAUUAACCCUCCAUAAUAUAAUCGGAUGGCAUCAUUUGAUUAUUAAAACUUCGGUGGUACAAGAUGGGCAUGCGUUUGAUUAGCUAGUUGGCGGGGUAAAGGCCCACCAAGGCGAUGAUCAAUAGGGGAACUGAGAGGUUGAUCCCCCACACUGGCACUGAGAUACGAGCCAGACUCCUACGGGAGGCAGCAGUGGGGAAUAUUGGUCAAUGGAUGGAAGUCUGAACCAGCCAUGCCGCGUGCAGGAAGAAGGCCUUCUGGGUUGUAAACUGCUUUUGCCAGGGGAUAAAAAUUCUUUGCGAAGAAAAUUGAAGGUACCUGGUGAAUAAGCACCGGCUAACUACGUGCCAGCCGCCGCCGUAA
rnacentral:rRNA from 1 species